UCUGGCUUAUAGCCAAGCGGUCUCACUAGAGUGCCCAACUCAAUGCUGGCAACUAGUGACGAGGGUUGCGCUCGUUGCGGGACUUAACCCAACAUCUCACAACACGAGCUGACGACAGCCAUGCAGCACCUGUCACCGCGUCCCCGAAGGGAACUCCCGCUUUCACGGGAUAGCGCGGGAUGUCAAGUCUAGGUAAGGUUCUUCGCGUAGCAUCGAAUUAAACCACAUGCUCCACCGCUUGUGCGGGCCCCCGUCAAUUCCUUUGAGUUUUAAUCUUGCGACCGUACUUCCCAGGCGGGACACUUAAUGCGUUAGCUUCGUUACCGACACAAUUAGGUAUGCCGACAACUAGUGUCCAUCGUUUAGGGCGUGGACUAC
rnacentral:misc_RNA from 1 species